rnacentral:rRNA from 1 species
AGCAUGUGGUUUAAUUCGAUGCAACGCGAAGAACCUUACCUGGUCUUGACAUCCCGGAGACCCUUAGGAACUAGGGGUGCUUCCAUCUGGAAGAAUCUGGAGACAGGUGCUGCAUGGCUGUCGUCAGCUCGUGUCGUGAGAUGUUGGGUUAAGUCCCGCAACGAGCGCAACCCUUGCCUUUAGUUGCCAGCAGUUCGGCUGGGCACUCUAAAGGGACUGCCGGUGUUAAACCGGAGGAAGGUGGGGAUGACGUCAAGUCCUCAUGGCCUUUAUGACCAGGGCUACACACGUACUACAAUGGCCGAUACAAAGGGCAGCGACACUGCGAGGUGAAGCCAAUCCCGUAAAAUCGGUCUCAGUCCGGAUUGGAGUCUGCAACUCGACUCCAUGAAGUUGGAAUCGCUAGUAAUCGUGGAUCAGCAUGCCACGGUGAAUACGUUCCCGGGCCUU